rnacentral:rRNA from 1 species
AUGAACGCUGGCGGCGUGCCUCAUACAUGCAAGUCGAGCGAACAGACGAGGAGCUUGCUCCUCUGACGUUAGCGGCGGACGGGUGAGUAACACGUGGAUAACCUACCUAUAAGACUGGGAUAACUUCGGGAAACCGGAGCUAAUACCGGAUAAUAUAUUGAACCGCAUGGUUCAAUAGUGAAAGACGGUUUUGCUGUCACUUAUAGAUGGAUCCGCGCCGCAUUAGCUAGUUGGUAAGGUAACGGCUUACCAAGGCAACGAUGCGUAGCCGACAUGAGAGGGUGAUCGGCCACACUGGAACUGAGACACGGUCCAGACUCCUACGGGAGGCAGCAGUAGGGAAUCUUCCGCAAUGGGCGAAAGCUUGACGGAGCAACGCCGCGUGAGUGAUGAAGGUCUUCGGAUCGUAAAACUCUGUUAUUAGGGAAGAACAAAUGUGUAAGUAACUAUGCACGUCUUGACGGUACCUAAUCAGAAAGCCACGGCUAACUACGUG